ACUUCAAUGUGAAAUGUGUCAUUUUUUGAUACAAGCUUUGGAGCAUCCUUGUUGAAGAAAAGUUGUCAUUGACAAGCCUGACAUCACCCAGAUGAUAAUUCAAAGGCCAGCUCUUUUUACAGUAAACCAGGAUGCAGCUGACAAGACAGACUCCAGUACGAAUCCUCAGCGUUGAUCAAGAAAGUCCACAGCUCAAAACCCAUCUAGAGUGAAAAUCAUCUUGGAAGAUAAUUUUGUAAUGGAUGGACUGACCGAUCUCAGGCCUUCUGUGUCCAUUGUUUUCAGACUGAUUUAUGCCCUGCACCUGGACUGUGUAUGAAAAGCACUUUAUAUUUUAUUCAGCAUGUAAUGCUCAACCUCAGAAAAGGUGAGUUAGCACCUAAAAUUUAGUACUGCCAAUAUUGUGAACUGAGAGUGGAAUAAAACCAUAAAAAGUUUGUUAAACUAAUGUUUUCAUGUUUUAUGUGGAAACAUUUUCAGAAAUUAAAAAUGUUUUUAAAUUAACAUUUGGAAUUGAAUUAAAAUAAAACAGAAUAUU